ACUCAAAGGAAUUGACGGGGGCCCGCACAAGCGGCGGAGCAUGUUGCUUAAUUCGAGGCAACGCGAAGAACCUUACCUGGGUUGAACUACGCAGGAAAAGCCGUAGAGAUACGGUGUCCGCAAGGGCCUGCGAUAGGUGGUGCAUGGCUGUCGUCAGCUCGUGUCGUGAGAUGUUGGGUUAAGUCCCGCAACGAGCGCAACCCUUUUCCUAUGUUGCCAGCGGGUAAUGCCGGGGACUCGUAGGAGACUGCCGGGGUCAACUCGGAGGAAGGUGGGGAUGAGGUCAAGUCAUCAUGCCCCUUACGUCCAGGGCUGCAAACAUGCUACAAUGGCCGAUACAAAGGGCUGCUAUCCCGCGAGGGUGAGCGAAUCCCAAAAAGUCGGUCUCAGUUCGGAUCGGAGUCUGCAACUCGACUCCGUGAAGUUGGAGUCGCUAGUAAUCCCGGAUCAGCAACGCCGGGGUGAAUACGUUCCCGGGCCUUGUACACACCGCCCGU
rnacentral:rRNA from 1 species